GUUUGUAAGUGGGUCAGGCAAAGCAGGGGGCUGAGGCGAGCUGGGACAGCAAGCCGCUCUGGCAGCGGAGGGAGGCCCUGUGUAUACGGCCCUGGGGGCUGAAGGAGAGCAAGGCAGGGAGGACUUUCGGGCAGCGCAGAUUUGGAGGCUUAGUUAUGGAAGCGCUGACAAAGAUGGUUUCUUAACUGCCAACAGACGUUGCAGAAGAAUGACCAGUGGACCAGAAUAAAAGAGGAAGACAAGAGAACAGAGGAUUACAAAGGAAACAAUUACUAGGUUUGCAGAAGAAGGAGUAGGCAAAAAACUGAAAACCAACACUGCAGAGUAACACACUACUGCUUGGGUGAGACAUGGGCUGACAAAAAACAUCUCAGCUUCCAGUAAACUAGCCAUGGUAUGCAAGAAGAAUUGGCUCAUGGAGCUGAUCACAACAUUUCAUAAGUCUGGGCCAAAUCCUGAAAACAAGUGAGUAUCUGCAAAGCACUUGCAUCCCUCACUGAUAUCAAAAGGAGUUGAGAGUGCUCAAGAUUUGGCCCACUGCAGAGAUGCAGCCUUGAACUGCCAAAGAUCAGUCGUGUUCAAUGUGCAAGAAUAAGGAAGGUGCCAACAACUAGGUCUACUGACUCACCGCCCAUGUCUUGUCUUGUGAUAUUAUACAUGGGCUGAAAGAUCCACUUUUGCUUAACUGUACAGAUUAAAAUGAUACAUUUAAUAUUAUACUUUCCUAAGGCUCUAAACAUGCAUAAUGGUAAUUGAUAAUUGUGUCGCAGUGGCAGAGAAAAAGGUGUCUGACCAGAUUUUUCACUCUUGACCAAAAAUAAAUAAAGAUGAAAUGUGCCGAUUA